GAGAGAGAGAGAGAGAGAGAGAGAGAGAGAGAGAGAGAGAGAGAGUGUGUGUGAGAGAGAGUGGGAUAGAGGGGCGCUGUGUCAAAUCACAGAAACCAUCAUCUUGACCAGACACUCAAGAAGUAAAAUAUGUUAUAUUGCAAAGCCUUUGCAAAGAUGGGGGACGACAAGCCUUUUGUGUGCAGUGCUCCUGGCUGUGGGCAGGUAAGUUCACUUUCACUUGGCUCUGCUUUUCUGGUUCAUAGGGCAUUCUCUGGUUAUUGAAGAGUCGUC